ensembl:rRNA 5S_rRNA 5S ribosomal RNA
GUCUCAGGCCGGAUCAGCCUGAAGGCGCCCGAUCUCGUCUGAUCUCGGAAGUCUAAGCAGGGUCGGGCCUGGUUAGUAUCUUGGAUGGGAGACCACCUGGGAAUCCCGGGUGCUCGAGGCU